rnacentral:siRNA from 1 species
GAGGGAAAAGAUGUCUGAUUGUG